rnacentral:rRNA from 1 species
GUCCUCUUGAUAAAUAUUUUGAGGUCUGGUCUGCUCACUGAAUAAUUUUAAAUAGCCGCGGUAUUUUGACCGUGCAAAGGUAGCAUAAUCAUUAGUCUUUUAAUUGAAGACUGGAAUGAAUGGCUUGACGAGAAAUUAACUGUCUCUUAAUAAUUAUUUUAAUUUAACUUUUAAGUUAAAAGGCUUAAAUUUUUUUUUAGGACGAGAAGACCCUAUAGAGCUUAACAUAAAUAUUAUAUUUAGUUUUUAGUUAAUUUUUCCAUAUUUAAUAAUAAUGUUUUGUUGGGGUGACAUGAAAGAUAGUUAAACCUUUCAUUAUUAAAUCAUUGAUUUAUGUUUAUAUUGAUCCAUAAUUUAUGAUCAUAAGAUUAAGUUACCUUAGGGAUAACAGCGUAAUUGUUUUUAAGAGCUCAUAUCAACAAAACAGAUUGCGACCUCGAUGUUGGAUUAAGAUUAAUUUUGGGUGCAGUAGCCCAGUAAUUAGGUCUGUUCGACCUUUAAAUUCUU